rnacentral:lncRNA from 1 species
CGGUGGUGGUGAUGAUGGUGGUGGUGGCGGCGGCGGUGGUGAUGGUGGUGGUGGUGGUGGUGAUGAUGGUGAUGAUGAUGAUAGCAGGAGCCGCAGCAGAGCUGGGAUUUCAAACGGAGGCCGCCCGCCGACCGCCCGCCGCCCGCCCUGGUCACUCAGAUGUGCCGCUGUGGGCUCUGCGCAGAGCCCGGGCCCUGAGACCAGAGCAGCGAGGCUGCAGUGAGCGGCAGAGGCCGGCAGAGGGCGCGUGGCCGCCAGCGUGUGCCCUUCCAGUUUCUGAAGGGCCUUCCCCACCGGGCCGGAGGGAGCCCAGCGACCAGGCCCCAGAGUCUUCUCUCCAAUCAGAGCAUGCUGGGGGAGCCAAGGAGCCCCGUGGGUGCCGUCGGUCGCGUCAUGGUCCCGCUCAUCGCCGACAGCGCCGCGGAGAGGCGGGAGGGCCCCUGCCCGGGUCACAGCCAGGGGGUCACAGCCAGCGAGCGAGGCCGGACGACCCGCCCGGUGCCCUUGGCCUCCGUGGGGCCACCGCGCCCGCCCCGCCCGGGGCGGCCUGGGCUGACGUCACAGGGCGGGGCGAUGCCCCUCUCUGCCCCGGCCCCCAGAGGGCGCCCAAGGGUCGGAGUGGCAACUUCCUGCCGCNGGCGCCUCCCCCCUCCGUGGGAACAGUCCCUGCCCGGGACUAGGGGCCUGCAGCCGGCUGUGUGGGGGCAGGUGGCUUCGGCUCCAACUCACCCUCCCUCCCCUUCCCGAGCCUUCUGGGCCCCCCACCCCCAGGGGCCCACAACCUGGCGUCACUUGCCUGGGAGACAGCGGGCUUCCCGGCCUCUGUCAGGGUCGGGCCUGCGUGGACACCAAGGAAUUCCUCCCCCUUCUCAUCCGGCCCGGCCCCUGGCCGCUCCUCCCUGCUGGUCUCAGCCGGUCCCACAUCUGCCUCCACCUGGCCCGCCCCCCGGGGAGCCCCCCUCCCACCGGUGCACCUGCGGCCUCGGCCCCCAUCCCUGUGGGUCCAGACCGUGUCCCUCCAUCGAGGCCCCGCUCGAGGCCCUGUCGGCGCCCAUCCGGCAGGCAUCCUCAGACCUGGCCCCAGCGGACCUUCUGGCCGCUCCCGGUGGGCGUCCCGCCGCGGCCUCCCCGGGCCUGGGGCCUCUGGGGUGA